GGUUAAGCGACUAAGCGUACACGGUGGAUGCCCUGGCAGUCAGAGGCGAUGAAGGACGUGCUAAUCUGCGAAAAGCGUCGGUAAGGUGAUAUGAACCGUUAUAGCCGGCGAUGUCCGAAUGGGGAAACCCAGUGCAAUUCGUUGCACUAUCGUUAACUGAAUACAUAGGUUAACGAGGCGAACCGGGGGAACUGAAACAUCUAAGUACCCCGAGGAAAAGAAAUCAACCGAGAUUCCCCCAGUAGCGGCGAGCGAACGGGGAGCAGCCCAGAGUCUGAAUCAGCUUGUGUGUUAGUGGAACGGUCUGGAAAGUCCGACGGUACAGGGUGAUAGUCCCGUACACCAAAAUGCACAGGUUGUGAACUCGAAGAGUAGGGCGGGACACGUGGUAUCCUGUCUGAAUAUGGGGGGACCAUCCUCCAAGGCUAAAUACUCCUGACUGACCGAUAGUGAACCAGUACCGUGAGGGAAAGGCGAAAAGAACCCCGGCGAGGGGAGUGAAAAAGAACCUGAAACCGUGUACGUACAAGCAGUGGGAGCACCUUCGGGUGUGACUGCGUACCUUUUGUAUAAUGGGUCAGCGACUUAUAUUCUGUAGCAAGGUUAACCGUAUAGGGGAGCCGCAGGGAAACCGAGUCUUAACUGGGCGUUAAGUUGCAGGGUAUAGACCCGAAACCCGGUGAUCUAGCCAUGGGCAGGUUGAAGGUUGGGUAACACUAACUGGAGGACCGAACCGACUAAUGUUGAAAAAUUAGCGGAUGACUUGUGGCUGGGGGUGAAAGGCCAAUCAAACCGGGAGAUAGCUGGUUCUCCCCGAAAGCUAUUUAGGUAGCGCCUCGUGAACUCAUCUUCGGGGGUAGAGCACUGUUUCGGCUAGGGGGUCAUCCCGACUUACCAACCCGAUGCAAACUACGAAUACCGAAGAAUGUUAUCACGGGAGACACACGGCGGGUGCUAACGUCCGUCGUGAAGAGGGAAACAACCCAGACCGCCAGCUAAGGUCCCAAAGUCAUGGUUAAGUGGGAAACGAUGUGGGAAGGCACAGACAGCCAGGAUGUUGGCUUAGAAGCAGCCAUCAUUUAAAGAAAGCGUAAUAGCUCACUGGUCGAGUCGGCCUGCGCGGAAGAUGUAACGGGGCUAAACCAUGCACCGAAGCUGCGGCAGCGACACUAUGUGUUGUUGGGUAGGGGAGCGUUCUGUAAGCCUGCGAAGGUGACCUGUGAGGGUUGCUGGAGGUAUCAGAAGUGCGAAUGCUGACAUAAGUAACGAUAAAGCGGGUGAAAAGCCCGCUCGCCGGAAGACCAAGGGUUCCUGUCCAACGUUAAUCGGGGCAGGGUGAGUCGACCCCUAAGGCGAGGCCGAAAGGCGUAGUCGAUGGGAAACAGGUUAAUAUUCCUGUACUUGGUGUUACUGCGAAGGGGGGACGGAGAAGGCUAUGUUAGCCGGGCGACGGUUGUCCCGGUUUAAGCAUGUAGGCUGGUUGUCCAGGCAAAUCCGGAUAAUCAAGGCUGAGGUGUGAUGACGAGGCACUACGGUGCUGAAGUAACAAAUGCCCUGCUUCCAGGAAAAGCCUCUAAGCAUCAGGUAACAUUGAAUCGUACCCCAAACCGACACAGGUGGUCAGGUAGAGAAUACCAAGGCGCUUGAGAGAACUCGGGUGAAGGAACUAGGCAAAAUGGUGCCGUAACUUCGGGAGAAGGCACGCUGGUGUGUAGGUGAAGUCCCUGCGGAUGGAGCUGAGACCAGUCGAAGAUACCAGCUGGCUGCAACUGUUUAUUAAAAACACAGCACUGUGCAAACACGAAAGUGGACGUAUACGGUGUGACGCCUGCCCGGUGCCGGAAGGUUAAUUGAUGGGGUUAUCCGUAAGGAGAAGCUCUUGAUCGAAGCCCCGGUAAACGGCGGCCGUAACUAUAACGGUCCUAAGGUAGCGAAAUUCCUUGUCGGGUAAGUUCCGACCUGCACGAAUGGCGUAAUGAUGGCCAGGCUGUCUCCACCCGAGACUCAGUGAAAUUGAACUCGCUGUGAAGAUGCAGUGUACCCGCGGCAAGACGGAAAGACCCCGUGAACCUUUACUAUAGCUUGACACUGAACAUUGAGCCUUGAUGUGUAGGAUAGGUGGGAGGCUUUGAAGCGUGGACGCCAGUCUGCGUGGAGCCAACCUUGAAAUACCACCCUUUAAUGUUUGAUGUUCUAACGUUGGCCCCUGACCGGGGUUGCGGACAGUGUCUGGUGGGUAGUUUGACUGGGGCGGUCUCCUCCCAAAGCGUAACGGAGGAGCACGAAGGUUAGCUAAUCCUGGUCGGACAUCAGGAGGUUAGUGCAAUGGCAUAAGCUAGCUUGACUGCGAGCGUGACGGCGCGAGCAGGUGCGAAAGCAGGUCAUAGUGAUCCGGUGGUUCUGAAUGGAAGGGCCAUCGCUCAACGGAUAAAAGGUACUCCGGGGAUAACAGGCUGAUACCGCCCAAGAGUUCAUAUCGACGGCGGUGUUUGGCACCUCGAUGUCGGCUCAUCACAUCCUGGGGCUGAAGUAGGUCCCAAGGGUAUGGCUGUUCGCCAUUUAAAGUGGUACGCGAGCUGGGUUUAGAACGUCGUGAGACAGUUCGGUCCCUAUCUGCCGUGGGCGCUGGAGAAUUGAGGGGGGCUGCUCCUAGUACGAGAGGACCGGAGUGGACGCAUCACUGGUGUUCGGGUUGUCAUGCCAAUGGCACUGCCCGGUAGCUAAAUGCGGAAGAGAUAAGUGCUGAAAGCAUCUAAGCACGAAACUUGCCCCGAGAUGAGUUCUCCCUGAGACUUUAAGUCUCCUGAAGGAACGUUGAAGACGACGACGUUGAUAGGCCGGGUGUGUAAGCGCAGCGAUGCGUUGAGCUAACCGGUACUAAUGAACCGUGAGGCUUAACCUU
rnacentral:rRNA from 1 species